UGGAGCUCAGUGGUUCAUAGUUCAGUGGCAGAGCACCUGCCUUGCAUGCAGAAGGUCACCGGUUCAACUUCUGGUAUCUUCAG